rnacentral:lncRNA from 1 species
CUAAAUACAUGGAGUGGUACCGCGACUGAAGUGUGGAACCCUGGAGCUUCCACAGUUCUUCAAGUCCUUCUCUCUCUGCAGGCUCUUGUCCUUAACAAAAAGCCUUAUUUCAAUGAAGCUGGAUGUGACCAACAAAUUGGUAGAGCUGAAGGAGAGAAAAACUCUGUUAGUUACAAUGAGAAUGCUUUCCUCCUCACCUGCAAAUCCAUGUUGGGUCUACUAAGAAAGCCGCCGGAGGUAAAACAACCAUACUUUUUUACUUUGAUUUUGCCUUUAUUAUAACACGGGACUGCAUGAUUUCCUAGGAAACAUUGACAAUAACUCAUUGCAUGUCUUGGACUGUGUAUCUCUAUUUCAUAGAGCGCAAUUAUUAAUAUUUUGUAGUUAGAAAUGGAGAUGCUAAACCCACUUGGGUUGGUCUGAUGGUGUUGGCUUGGGACCUUGGAGAGUGAUCCUUUCAAGAUCUCAGGUUCGAUUUUCCCCGGUGCAAAUUUCAGCAAGUAUGGCUUCUAAAAAAAAGAAAAAAAAUGUAGAGGCUAUAUUGAGAUGUGUGCAUGAUCCUUGAUUUCCAAUUAACAUUAGUUUCUUAAGUUUUCAGUUUUCAUUCAUAAAUUUAAAUUUACUGUAAUUGAUUACACUGAGGCUAUAAUAUUUUCAAGUAUCCUCUGUCCAUUUCACAAUAAUGAUCAUCAUGAGGUUUUUAGUUUCUUUCAAAUUAAUUUUCAUUUUAUCAAACUAAAAAAGCAUUGAUCAAAUACUUUUUUCGACUUUAUCCUUGUCUUUUCAUAUCCUCCCCAAGUAGAAUAAGAGUAAUAUAGUCGAAUACAUUUACAUUUACUUGUCAUUGAGGAUAUUUAAUGAUUCUCUCAAUCUUCACACGAAACAACUUUGAAAUUGUAACUAAUAAUUGCAGCAUUUUGAGGCAUUGGUGGAAGAACACUUUCGACAAUGCUCAAAACAUAUACUCGUUGCUUGUAAGGCAUAUCUUGAAGGAGCAAGCCUAUUGGAGGUGAAAAAAAUGAGCAUGAAAACCGAGAUGGAACUUCUACAGGAUUCAAAAUUAUGCUUUCUAAACUCUUCCCUAAGCUUGUUGAGGCAUUUUCUGAUAAGGGAAUUGACUGCUCCCAGUUUGUUGACAUGCAAAAGUGAAAACUCGACGAAGUUGAGUUAACCAUUAAGGUUGCUGGUUCCAACCUUAUGUAUGUGUAAUAUUAAUUUGGUUUCAUGUAUCUGUCUAAUAUGUCAAGUUAAGCUUGAAGAAAGAAAUAAAAACCUUGUGCUAUGUUUGUAUAUCAAAUGCUAGUUUAUUCUGUAAACAGUUUUAUAAUGCCUUAACAUAUGAGAAAUGAUAAAUGAACACAAAAAGUGACACCGACACCGUAUUUCUAUCCGGUCUGUGGAUCGAUUUAGCAAUUUUUAGCUUGCAUCGGGGUUCUGUGCAAGACUCACACUGCCUUGUAUCAUCUCAGUUGUCGCAUUCGGUAUCGAAAAAAAUUGUUUAAAAUGGCAGUGUUCAUACGCUAUAUAAUGCUUGUCCAUACUGAUUUGCUUGAUUUUUCCUAUGUUUGCAAGAAUUACUUAAUUUAUGUGAAAAAAUGCCAAAAUAAUAUAUUGAAAAUUGAUGACUAAAGUUUAAGAAGAGCAAGAUGUGCGAAAGCUUAGUAGAAACCAUGUGCUCAACCAACAUAUAAAUUCUUAUGAUGUGAUGAUGAUUUCAUAUCUACAACAAUGAAUAAGAGGGACAAUACUUAGGUGACAUUGUGGUUGGUGACAUUACCAACCACAAUGUUACAAGUGUGCAAAACAACAAAAAAAUCUUGUGAAAGAAAAAGAAGAAAGCCACAUGUGACAUUAUGGUUGGUCAAUGUCACCCAAGUGCUACCCGAAUAAGAGAGAGACCGAAUGAAUUUAAUAGUUAAUUGUCAUAGUAGUAAACCAAACACCACCAAGCUCCUCAAUUACAAAAUCAGAAAAUUAGUUAUGCAGACUUUAAUUAGAUAAACAACAUAUUCAUAAUAAAUUGAUCCUAAAACCUUUAGUAUGGGUCAUAUUGUCAUACUAGAUAUACAAAAUUUUCAAUAAACCUAAAAGAACAAUAGAUUAUCAUAAGAUAGGAUGGAUAGUGCAUGUUAAUUCAGUAGACGAGUUUAAUCCAUAAUUUCCUUCAGCAUUGCCCAUUGCCAUCGGUCUCACCAUCUCCCACCUCAGAGACGCCAUCUUCCCCUACCGAUUCCUCGCUACCGAUUCCUCGUUGACUGAACUUCCUUCCAAUGGACAAAAUAUUUGUUUGCUAUUUGUUGUCAGUUGAAAACUAGUUUAAACCUCUUUUUAAACUAGUUUUAAACUGACAACAAAUAGCAAACAAAUAUUUUGUCCAUUGGAAGGAAGUUCUGUCAACGAGGGUUCCGUGGGUGAAGAUGGCGUCUUUGAGGUGGCGUCUUUGAGGUGAGAGAUGGUGAGACCGAUGGCAAUGGGCAAGGCUGAAGGAAAUUAUGGAUUAAACUCGUAUACCGUGUUAACAUGCACUAUCCAUCCUAUCUUAUCUUAUCUUAUGAUCUAUUGUUCUUCUAGGAUCAAUUUAUUAUGAAUAUGUUGUUUAUCUAAUUAAAGUCAUAACUAAUUUUCUAAUUUUGUAAUUGAGGAGCGUGGUGUUUGGUUUACUACUAUGCCAAUUAACUAUUAAAUUCAUUCGGUCUCUCUAUUAUUCGGAUAGCAAUUGGGUGACAUUGGCCAACCAUAAUGUCACACGUGGCUUCCUUCUUUUUCUUUCAAAGAUUCUUUUUGUUGUUUUGCAGACUUGUAACAUUGUGGUUGGUAAUGUCACCAAUGUCACCAACCACAAUGUUUUGCAGUUAUUCCAUAAAUUCUAAAUGCAGUUGAUCAAGAAACAAAAUGAAAAAGCUAAUUAAUAAUCACUGUCUUUUUCUACCAAGAAACCAAAUCACAAGUCAAUACUGUAAACCCAAUUCAAUAUCUUAAAACAAUGGGCCAACAAAAAUAAGCAAUGUAAAGAGAGGAAAACAAAUAAAAUACCAUUGAAUCUUCAAUAAAUUGAAAUUAUAUCAUUAAAAUUUUAAAUAUAAUCAAUUCAAUGAAGAUUCUCAAAUAGAUGGUUCAUGAUGAAGAAAAGGACAUAUAUGAGAUCAGUAAAAAUGAAAAAGCUGUAAAUCAGUCUUUUUCUACCAAACAAACAAAUCACAUGCAAAAUGAAAGAUCCAGCUACAUAACAAAGAUAACAAUUAUAAAGAAACUAAAAAGAUUACCUCGUAGCACCUGCACAACAGAAGGAUGAAUGACUAUACCUAGCACUGGGUGGGAAACCUCUCCAAGACGACCACGCUUCCUCUUCCUCUAGAUUAAAGUCAGGAGGAGGAUCAAGUCCCGUCCCAUUGGAAUCAAGUCCAGUCCCAACAAAGUCACCAGCAUUAUCUUUCUUAUGAUUAAAAUUAAAAUUAAAAAUCAUAAGAUCAUUUAUUAAAUAGAGAAACAACGAACUAAAUAAAAAAAAUCAUCUAAAACUGGAUUAUCUUAUGAUUAAAAUUAAAAAUCAAAAUCAUAAGUUCGGUUGAUUCGAUCGAUGUUAUAAUUUUUCAACCAUUUCCCAUGAUUUCAGAUUUUGUAUUCCACUAUAACAAGAUAACUACUGAUUUCGUAAAAUCAACAAACUGAAUAGAUCAGAUCCGUCAAGAUAUUGUUAAAAACAGAACACAUGUGAAACUAGUGAACGACGGCGAACUAAAUUG